rnacentral:misc_RNA from 1 species
GGGAAAGUAAUAACUACACUGCAACUUAAAAAGUUAAAGCAAGUAUACAUUAAUUUACAAAACAAAGUUGCAACAUAAAACUUAAACAUCUUAAACUUGGAGUUUAGAAAAGAAGAGAACAAUUAAACUUUGUUAACCUUCUUUCUUGUUUUCCAUAAGAGUAAGAAACCUUCAUAUUUAUCCUCUCUCUUGUUUUAGCUUCUAGACAAAAUAAUUUUGUAACUUCACCAACCUCAACUCAACUUGGGACCACAUCCUUCAACCCUGUUUUUUUUUUGUGUGGCGUAUAGUUUCGUGAAGGAGAAGAAAACAAUUGGAAUUUGAACUGUUUAGGUAAGGCAAUUCCGUCCCUGAAUUUGAGUACCGGCGUUUGAAUUGCCUGAGAAUUCGCCGCAUCUCCGGCACCGACCAGUUUGGAGAAUCUGACGGCAAGUUGGGCAUGACGAGUGUGAACCAAGCCACGUGUCAAUACAGUGAACAUGAAAAACAUGGCGACACUGAGGCAAAACUUUAAUCUCAUCUCCUCUAGUGUACUCCGCCAGACAUAUGGCGCACUCCGACGCAGCUUCAGUACUUGAAGAAGCUGGAUCAAACUUGAACUUCGGCAGCGAUCGCAAAACUUUCUUCUUCAAUCCUUUGUUCGCCGCCGCUGACGACUGACCUCCGGUGGAUCCUCCGGUGCGUCUGAGCCAAGCGCAUCG